UACGUAGGGUCCGAGCGUUGUCCGGAUUUAUUGGGCGUAAAGAGCUCGUAGGCGGUUCCGUAAGUCAGAUGUGAAAACUCAGGGCUCAACCCGGAGACGCCAUCUGAUACUGCGGUGACUGGAGUCUGGUAGGGGAACACGGAAUUCCUGGUGUAGCGGUGAAAUGCGCAGAUAUCAGGAGGAACACCGAUGGCGAAGGCAGGUCUCUGGGCCGGAACUGGCGCUGAGGAGCGAAAGCGUGGGGAGCGAACAGG
rnacentral:rRNA from 1 species